GCUUGUCAGAACCCCCGAAUUGCUCCAAACUUUCUUCGGCGUGCGAGGGAGGUGGGAAAAGUGAUAAUAAAUAUAGAUGGAUAUAGGGGCCUUUUCAUUGCUUUGCUUUACCUCUGGCCAGGCUCAAUCUAAACCCUUCGCUCCCCCGCCCCCUCCCCCGGCUAAUCCUCCCCUUUAUUUUAGAAACACACAAAACCAGGUUCCACGCAGCGCUAUAGUGGCUACAAGUGAAAGAGAACUGAGCGCCCUGAAUCGCUGGGGGGAAAUUGGUCCGGCUGAAUAGCCCCGGCGAGGGACGGGAGGCUAAUGGGGGCCAAGGGGGGUGCUGCCGCCGCGGCCGGGCCCCCCAAACCAGGUGGACACGGGGCUUUCUCAAUUGCCCGCGUCCUCGCAUCUGAGGGUUCUGCAAAUCCUCCCCUCCCGCAUCAAGUCGUUUUAAUUAGAGAGAGGAAGGGAAGGACCCCCAGCAUCCAGGCGCUCUCGGUUGCAACGGAGCUGAUUGCAGAUGGGUUGCCAAAAUAACUCGAGCAUGGUUGCGUGGUAGUUGCUUUAGGAAGGGAAAAAAAAUUCAUUCUCCCCCUUCUUAAAGAAAAAAAAAAAAAAAGAGAAA